rnacentral:miRNA from 1 species
UCUCGUUCCGCUUCAUCUGAA